CAUUCACAGCUUCUUGCAAGUGCAAGAAUGUGGUGCUGGUGCUCUGGCAGCCAUCUUGAGACUAUGAGGUGCAACUUACCAUUGGGUAAAUCCUUGACAACGACAUCACCAAGCCACCAGACCAACACCCAGACCAGACCACCUACUCCAGACUUGUUAAAUUAGUCUGCAGGAAUUUUUCAAGAUGGCAGAUGAGAGGAUAUCGCUUUCCUGGCUGUUCUGUAGAGUGAAACCAAGAAAACAGGCAGUUUCUCAGAAAGGUGAGUAACCAAAAGGGGUAGGCGGGUGGACUUUACUGGAACUUAAAACUGUGCAUUCAAAACAGAUCAGGGACUCAGGAGGCUGGGUAUAAUAAAAUAAGGAAGAAAUCCCCAGCAACACAACCACUGUCAUGGUUGGUCCAAAAGCACCAACCAAAGUGGUCCUUCAAGAGCAAAGUGAAGGAUAAGGGAAUUAAAAGAACCCCCAUUUUUAGGAGACUUGAGGCAUAUUGGGUACAGAACAUUUAGAGAUCAAGGACACUGAGUGAUUAAACUGCACAAUAUCUUUGUGAGGGAAAGAAGCCACCACCUCUCCAGGUAGUGUGUGGAGGACGAGAGAUGGAACUGUUUUGCAGUCAUGGCUUGGGGGUCGGCACCUGAGGGAGACAAUUCCUGGAAAACCUGAGUUUGGCCCAAAAUAUAGGCUCAGUAAAUACACACUGCACCCCAUAAAGUGUGCUUAAGUGACCAGGAGAAAAUUGAACAUGGAGAGAGGUCUACAGAGGGGACAACUGGUUGUGGAAACCCACCACCCCUACCCCUCCCACUCAGCUAUCUGCAGGACUGGCUAGGAGAGAUGCAUCUGGCCGAGAACUUGGAAUGGCGGAGAUGGGAGAGAUUGUUUGGAGACUGAACCCAAGAUCAGGAAACGUGGGGUCUGCAGGUGAUGUAAGGGACUAAGAAUUGGCUCCAGCACCACAAGAGUGGAACCCAGGGGAGAUCCCUGGGGCACAGUCUUCCGACGUGGAUCAGCAAUUACUGGGUGCUGGGGGUGCACUGAUUUAAAAUCUCCAGACCAAUUGGCAUUCAGCAAAGAGCCUGGAGCCCACCUAAGCCUAAAACUGCUUCCAGGAAUUCCUCCUACAGGAUUGCCUCUCUCACUCCAGCAAUCCAGAGGGAGGAGCAUCACACUCCACCGGCCUCAUCUAAACUGCUGAGAAGAGACGCUGAGAAUAUUUUGAACUCCAACUAAAAGAAUUCUUUAACUUUUCAUUGAGAUUUUUUUCUCCUUUCUUUUUUUCUUUUUUCUUCUUUCUUUUUGUGUUUAAUUGUGACCUUAACAGUACAUGGACAUUUAUACAUACUCAUACUUGUUUUUUUUUUCCUCAUGUCUAGCUAUUAUAAAGCCAGUUAUUUUUCAUGGAUCAGUUUUUUGAGGAUUUGGAUGUUUGAUUAGUACAUUGUAGUUUUCUUUUGUAUUACUUUAUUUUUAUUCUUUUUUAAAUUUUUACUUCUAUAUAUUUUUCUCUUACCUGUUUCCCUUCAUUCUCUUUCUCUCUUUUCUUUCUCUCUCUUUCACCCUUCCUUUAAUUUCUUACUUCUAUCUUCUCUCCUCCUCCCUCAUAAUUAUCACAUCCUAUGUCAUUUCUGUUCCCUCCCUGUCCACCAUUUGAAAUGGUAAACCGUUUUGCAAACUUGCUGUUUUUAGUGUAGGAAAUAACUAAUCAUAUCGUUUCUGUUUAUUGUGAUAAUUAACAUUGAAGACAUCAUAGUCAGAACUAUCUGGUUUAUUGUUAUAUAUUGUUUGCAUUAGCUGUUACUAUUUGUCUCCCCCUAAAUUGUGAGGUACUGGAAACCUUCAGGGACACUGUGAGUCCACAGAGUAGAAACUCUGCUACGUCAAAUUCAUACUGAUAGAUGGGUAAACAAACAAAUAACAUGAAAAACCAAGGGAACAAAUCACCCCAACAAACCAAAAUACUCCAAUAAAGGAUCUAAUGACACCACAGUGGAAGAGAAGGAAUUUAGAAUGUACAUGGUCAAACUGAUCUGCAAAGUAAAGGAUGAUGUAAGGAGUGAAAUCAGAAAGAAAAUACAGGAAGUGAAAGAUCACUUCAAUAAAGAGAUAGAGAUUCUGAAAAAAGUCAAGCAGAAAUCCUCAAAAUGAAGGAAUCAAUAAACCAAAUUAUGAAUUUAAUGGAAAGCAUCACCAGCAGAUUAGAUCACUUGGAAAACAGAGUUUCAGGCAAUGAAGACAAAAUAUGUAAUCCUGAAAACAAAUUUGACCGUGGAGAAAAGAUGUUAAGAGACCAUGAACAGAACUUCAGAAAUAUAGGACAACCUGAAAAGACCAAAUUUAAGAUUUAUGGAGAUAGAUGAAGGCUCAGAGAUACAAACCAAAGGAAUUCAUAAUCUUUCCAAUGAAAUAAUAUCCGAAAAUGUCCAAAACAUUAAGAAUGAAAUGAAACAUCAAAUACAGGAGGCUUACAAGAUCCCAAAUAUGCAAAAUUACAACAGACCCACAUCAAGGCACAUUAUUUUGAAAAUGCCUAACAUACAGAAUAAGUAUAGAAUUUUAAAGGCUGCCAGAGGAAAAUGGCAGUUAACAUUUAGAGGAAAACAAUCUGGAUCUCAGCUGAUUUUUCAACCCAGACCCUCAGAGCUAGAAGGUCUUAGAUAAUAUACCAAGCUCCGAAAGAAAAUGGAUGCAGGCUGAGAAUACUAUACCCAGCAAAAUUAAGUCUCAGAAUUGACGAUGAAAUAAAAAUCUUCCAUGAUAAAUAAAAGUUAAAAAAAUUCACAACUAGAAAGCCUGAACUAUAGAACAUUCUCAAUAAAAUAUUUUAUGAAGAAGAAGUGAAAACCAGCAAAUGGAGGAGCUAUAUUAGACUAGUCAAUCAAACAAGAAACUAAUUCAAAGUAAAAAAAAAAACAGAAAUAAAUCAAAAUAGAAGGGAAUAGAAAUCAUUUCUCAAUAUAACACUGAAUGUAAAAGGCCUAAACCCAUGAAUCAAAAGACAUAGAUUGGAUUGAGAAAAUAAGACCCAACAAUAUGCUGUCCUCAAGAGACUCACCUCAUAGGCAAAGACAUCCACAGACUGAAGGUAAAAGGAUGGGGAAAAAACAUAUCAUUCACAAGUAUUUAGUAAACAAGCAGGGGUUUCUAUCCUCAUAUCAGAUAAAGUGGACUUCAAGACAAAGUUAAUCAGAAGGGGCAGAAGGACAUUUCAUACUGCUUAAGGGAAUCAUACAACAACAAGACAUAACAAUGUAAAUAUUUAUGCCUCAAACAAUGGAGCAUCUGCGUACAAAACAAACCCUUCCCGGUUUCAAGAGUCAAAUAGACCACAACACAACAAUACUGGGUGACUUUAACAUGCCUCCGUCACUACUGAACAGAUCCUCCAAACAAAAACUAAAUAAAGGAGUUACAGAGAGGCUGGGAUUGUAGCUCAGUAGAAGAGUGCUUGCCUAGCACAUGUGAGGCACCAGGUUUGAUCCUCGGCACCACAUAAAAGUAAAUAAAAGAAAGGCAUUGUGUUUAUCUACAACUAAAAUAAAUUUUUUUAAAGAAGCUAUAAAACUAAAAAAAUACAAUUAAUAAUUUAGAGUUUACAGAAAUAUAUAGAAUAUUUCAUCCAUCAAUGACCACAUACACUUUCUUUGCAGCAGCACACAGAUCUUUCUCUAAUAUAGACCAUGUUAUGUAAGCUAUCACAUAUGUUGGCAUUCAAUUGUCAUAUUACCUUAAUUUAUUUUUAGCAUCUGUGCGGUUAUUUUGUUAGCUCCCUUUCCACUGAUAUUUAAUUUUUGUGUUCUUGCUUUUUUCUUGAUUAGACUUGAUUUUUAUCAGCUGUUAGCUGUAUUAUUUCUCCUCUCUGUCUCCUAUUUCUGCCUAAUUGGAAAAUAAUCUGAUUGUGAAUCUAGCUUCUUUCUGAUAAAAGUACUUUAAGUUAUAAAUGUUCAUCUGAGUACUGUUUCAUCCCAAAUUCUGAUAUUUUAAGCUUUUGAUUGUCACUUAGUUCAAAGCACUUUUUAUUUACUUUUCUUGUGCUUUCUUCCUCGACCCAUGAGAUAGUUAUGUGUGUGCCAUUUAAUUUUGAAAUGGUUGACAUGUGGAGGUGGGGUUCUAUAUACCAUAAGGGAUUGAAUUCUAAUAUAAUAAACAUACAGGAAACACAGCCUGCAUGAUUUCAAUUUUUUUUUAAAAAUGAUGGAAAUGCUUUUUAUAUUGAUUGUAUUGAUUGCACACAUGUCAAAACUCAUCAGAUUGCAUUCCUCAAAUAUGUGCACUUUACUGUACUUCAAUUUUACCUCAAUAAAGCCAUGGGAGGAAAGGUUAAAACAAUCUGCAGUUCCCAGAUUGUAAGUUCCCAGGGAGUCACAGUGAGUUCACAAGGGGUUAUGGGUAUUUUAAAUUUCAAAGGAAACAAAGUGAUGCUCAAUAUCUGAAGCUACUCGGCCAAGAUAGAUGGCAGUUUUAAUCUCAGAUGCUGCUACAUUCCUUUCAAUGACGUAACAUCUUUGUGAAGCAGUUUGUACAGCAGAUGCCAUGAUAAAAUCCAAGUGUCCCAUGAAAGUCAAUGUGAAAGAAGAAAUGAGUCCAGCAGUGUCCACCUGUCCAAUCUGAUUCCAAGGUCUGAGAAUUGUGCCACGCCCCAAAGGCACAUGCAUCCACGGCAACUAAUCCCAAUACUUAAAAAAGUUAUUUAGGAACUUAAAUAACAUGUUAUUUAAUCACAGCUACUUAAGAGGAAAAUAAGAAAUAUGUGGUUUUCUUCAACGUAUGUGUAUUACUAGGUAUUGCAUAUUAUCUUCAGUGUAUAUUAUUAUAUGUACAUACAAUGCAUGAAUCAUUUUUUCAGUGUAUGUGUAUUGUUUUUUUGAAUAUACAUUUUUUUUCAAGUGACUGCUAAGUUUUUAGCACAUCAAUAUUUACUAAGUUUUUUGACUUCACCGCUUAAUAAACAAAAACUGCUAGGUAACUUUUUGGCCCAGGCACAGAGUGAACCAAGAAAAUUUGGGAGCCUGUGAAGUAAACACUGUGUGUCUUGCUAUUCCAGGUAUUUCCAGGAAAGACAUUUCUGGCUUCUUUAUCAUUUCAGUUCAAUAACCUUUUCUGGAAACUGGCCACCAUUUACAAUGCAGGUGCCUGGUGACUCAGCCUGCAGACAAGCACAGAAACUGAAAGCGAGCAUUUCUUUCUCUCCUAAAACUGGCUGUAGGUACACCUGCUUCUGAAAGUGACUCUGUAGAAAUGGCUCUGGGUUGUUUUCAGUGUGUGAGCACCCUGGAGCCUGGACAACUUGGCUGCUGGCAAUGAGCCUGGUUCUCACCUUUCCUCUGCUCGCAGUGCAGGGCUCCUUUGAACCCGAGCAAUCUCCUGCUGCCCAGAAGCACCUGAGCCUUCUCUGCUCGCCUGCAGCACCAAAUUCAAAGUGUCUUUCACACCAGUAACCAGACACGUUGGCUGGGUCAGAGCUCUUCACAGCUGGGAAGCUGUUGAACAGAGGAAGCCGUCUCAGCAAGGCGCCAUCUGCAUGCGUUGAACAGUAAAAAAUGGCUUCCGUUUGCUGAGGACCUAUUGGGAGCUUGGCACUAGGAAUGUAUUUUAUACGAAUAGUCAGAAUGUUCCCACACCUCAUUUUUCUUUCUCGUUUAUCCUUUUCCUUACUACCUAAAUUAAAUAACUUCUAUAAAAUAAGAAAUUGAAGGCUGGGGUGCAGGUCAGUGGUAGAGCACUUGCCUAGCAUAUGUGAAGCCCUGGGUUCCAUCCCCAGCAAUGAGGAUUAAGCAUCUUUUCAUAAAAGAUGAAAAAAAAAGAUGCUUAAUCUCUUCAAUAGUUGGGAGGGGUGAAUUAAGACCAAAAAAAAAAAAAAUAAAGCAACAUUUUCACUAACAAAUCCACAGAAAAAAUUUUAAAGCAACUAACAUUCAAUACUGAUGAAGAUAGGAGACAUAGGCUAACUCAGACACUGCUGGCAGAAGGGCAAUGGUUAUAAUAUUUCAUAGCCCAGUCUUGCAAUAUUUACUAAAUAUUUGAAUAACACAUCCCUAGAUCCAGCAAGCUUCCAGUUAGGAAAUCUGUCCUAUUAGAGGUAUGUGUAGGGACUUCAGUUUAAUUGUUAGGAAAUCUAUCCUAUUAAGAGGUAUGUGUAGGGACUUCAGUUUAAUUAUUUAUUAUGGAAAACAUUGAGGACAAUCUGAAUGGUCCUGAUUUAAAAACAGCAGUUGAAUAAAAUGUGGUCUAUUCCAGCACCCUCUACAUCCCAUAGUUUUAUUCACUAUCUGUCUUUGGGCAGUCCAUUUCUUUCAUCCAAACUGUUCCCUGAUUCUGGCAAAUUCUACACAUCCUUCAGGUCUCAACUAAGAUAUGAUCAUUUUUUAACAGCUCGAUUGAGGAAUGAUUGACAGAUGACAUAGAAGAUUACAACGUCUUUACAGGGACCAAGAAAGAAGCAUCGUGGGAAAUGGAAAUCCGUGUGCAGGUUGAAGUGAUGAACCUUAUAAACACAGAGCACAAGAAGGCAGACACAAGAAAACACACCGGGGACCACCAAGUUCAAAACCAAGCGAAGCACCAUCCUACCAGCUUUGGGGUACUUCUGGGGCCAGGCACAUGGAGACUUUUGGGGUGCUGUCCUCUGCAUCUCAUGGAGGUGGGUGCUGGCUGCAGGAGAGGGAUCACCUUGCAAUAAUGCAAUAAGCUGCUAC
rnacentral:lncRNA from 1 species